rnacentral:rRNA from 1 species
UACGGAGGGUGCAAGCGUUGUCCGGAUUUAUUGGGUUUAAAGGGUGCGUAGGCGGUCCUGUAAGUCAGCGGUGAAAUCCCAGGGCUCAACCCUGGAACUGCCGUUGAUACUGCAGGGCUUGAGUUCGGUUAAGGCGGGCGGAACUGGUGGUGUAGCGGUGAAAUGCAUAGAUACCACCAAGUACCCCGAUUGCGUAGGCAGCUCGCUGAGCCGAAACUGACGCUGAGGCACGAAAGCGUGGGGAGCGAAC